UAGAUCCAAAAUAAUCAGAUUUUUAUCUCUUAAUUCAUCAUUCUCUUCUCUCUCAAAUCAUAGAGCAAAACCAUAAGGAAAAAUCAAAGUAGAAGACUCCAUUCGAGAUUUUCUUCAAAGAUCUCAAGAAACUAAUUCAAGAAUCUCAAGAAAGGUUUUCUUGAUUGUUUACCUUCAAGUUAGGGUUUUCACGCUUCUAACCAAGUUCUUAUUCAAGAUUCUUCAAGAACCUUAUUCUUCCAGUGAUGUCAUUCAAGCUACAUCUUUUGAUGAUGCAAAUACAUGUUCUUAAAAUCCUCAGCAAGAGUGUGUUGAGAUCAUUUCGUCAGCUUUUGAGUAAGACUUUCCUGCUUCUGGAGGACUCUAAUUUUUUGAGUUAUUACUAGUAGUUCUCUUGAGGAGUCAUGGUUGUUGUCUCAGCGCUCAUCUUUGUAUACACUAGAGGCUUCAUAGAUAGUCAGUUUUGGAGGGUCUUUCAAUUUUUAAUUUCUUAUUUAAAACUUAUGUUUCAUAUUCAGUAUAUUCUACAAAGUUUUGAAAUUUCGUAAACUAUUUUAAAAUGUUUCUUUCAAUUCAAUGUUCAUAUGUGCUUGAGUUAAACUUCCACUAGUAGUAACCUAGGACGAGGAUUCACUUGAGGGCCAACAAUAGUCCUGGAAUUUCGUCCACCUCAAGGGUGUAGACCCUGCUCAUGACAAAUGAUGCCAACUAUAGAGGCAUGUCACUCUUCUCCCAUGGAAAGACAUCACGAGAUUAUACGAACUGCGCACGAAGUACUACAAAGUGGCUUCUAUUGGACAAUAAUUAUCAAGAUGCACAUGAGUUCAUGAAAAUAUUUCAUCAAUGCCAGAGGGUUUGAGUAAAUAUAGAGAAAAUAUGAAUUACCCCUCACACAUAUCAUAGAAAUAGAAUUGUUUGAUAUAUGGAACAUCGACUUAUAGGGUCUUUCUCUAGUUUCUUUGAAAAUAGAUAUAUUUUAGUAAAAAAAUGAAAAGAGGUGGUUGUAUUUCCCAACAAUGUGUAAAAUGUCACUAUUUUCUUAAAGAUUUUUUUUUUGCAUGUUUGAAAUAGCAAGAGGAAUCAGUAGUGAUGGAGGAUUAAACUAUCUGCAACCGACUAUUAAGUACUUCAAAAGUAUAGAGUAAAGCAUAAAGUUUCUACACCCUAUCACCUUCAAGUAAGUGGAUAAGUGAAAGUUUCAAAUAGAGAUAUAAAGAACAUCCAUGUAAUUAGGAUGGUUG